GCUCCCGCCAAUGGAUUUGGUAGCGAGACUUCUAAUCUUGCCAUCGUGGGUUCGAUUCCUACCGGGAGUGCCA
rnacentral:tRNA from 1 species